rnacentral:rRNA from 1 species
UCGAGAAUCUUUCGCAAUGCCCGAAAGGGUGACGAAGCGACGCCGCGUGUGGGAAGAAGGCCUUCGGGUUGUAAACCACUGUCGGGAGUUAGGAAAUGCAGGUGCGUUAAUAGCGCACUUGCUUGACUAAGGCUCCAGAGGAAGCCACGGCUAAUUCUGUGCCAGCAGCCGCGGUAAUACAGAGGCGGCAAGCGUUGUUCGGAAUUAUUGGGCGUAAAGAGCACGUAGGCGGCCUUGCAAGUCAGUUGUGAAAGCCUUCCGCUUAACGGAAGAACGGCAUCUGAUACUACAGGGCUUGAGUACGGGAGGGGAGAGUGGAACUUCGUGGUGGAGCGGUGAAAUGCGUAGAUAUCAGAAGGAACGCCGGCGGCGAAAGCGACUCUCUGGGUCCGAAACGUGACG